rnacentral:rRNA from 1 species
GGAGUUUGGACCGUGUCUCAGUUCCAAUGUGGGGGACCUUCCUCUCAGAACCCCUACUGAUCGAAGGCUCGGUGGGCCGUUACCCCGCCGACUACCUAAUCAGACGCAUCCCCAUCCCUCAGCGGUAAACCUUUGCUUCAUCUCAGAUGUCAUCAACGAAGAACAUAGGGUAUUAAUCCGCAUUUCUACGGGCUAUGCCCUACUAUGGGGAAGGUUGGAUACGCGUUACUCACCCGUGCGCCGGUCGCCAUCAAUCAAAGCAAGCUUCGAUUAUGCUGCCCCUCGACUUGCAUGUGUUAAGCCUGUAGCUAGCGUUCAUC